GGGGAAGAUCCAUAGCUCAGUGGUAAAACAUCUGCUUUGCUUACAGAAGGUCAAAGGUUCAAUCCCUGGCAUCUCCA